rnacentral:rRNA from 1 species
GACGAACGCUGGCGGCGUGCUUAACACAUGCAAGUCGAACGGUGAACGAGGGAGCUUGCUCCCUCCGGAUCAGUGGCGAACGGGUGAGUAACACGUGAGCAAUCUGCCCCGAACUCUGGGAUAAGCGUUGGAAACGACGUCUAAUACCGGAUACGACGCGGGAGGGCAUCCUCUCCGCGUGGAAAGAACUUCGGUUCGGGAUGAGCUCGCGGCCUAUCAGCUUGUUGGUGAGGUAACGGCACACCAAGGCGACGACGGGUAGCCGGCCUGAGAGGGUGACCGGCCACACUGGGACUGAGACACGGCCCAGACUCCUACGGGAGGCAGCAGUGGGGAAUAUUGCACAAUGGGCGCAAGCCUGAUGCAGCAACGCCGCGUGAGGGACGACGGCCUUCGGGUUGUAAACCUCUUUUAGCAGGGAAGAAGCGAAAGUGACGGUACCUGCAGAAAAAGCACCGGCUAACUACGUG